AGAGUUUGAUCAUGGUUCAGGACGAACGCUGGCGGCGUGCUUAACACAUGCAAGUCGAACGGGAUCGGGGGCAACUCCGGUUCAGUGGCGAACGGGUGCGUAACACGUGAAGAAUUUGUCCAUCGGCGGGGGAUAGCCGGCCCAACGGCCGGGUAAUACCGCGUACGACCUUCGGAGGGCAUCCUCUGAUGGUGAAAGCCGCAAGGCGCCGAUGGAGAACUUCGCGGCCUAUCAGCUAGUUGGUAGGGUCAUGGCCUACCAAGGCGACGACGGGUAGCUGGUCCGAGAGGAUGACCAGCCACAUUGGGACUGAGACACGGCCCAGACUCCUACGGGAGGCAGCAGUGGGGAAUCUUGCGCAAUGGGCGAAAGCCUGACGCAGCGACGCCGCGUGUGGGAUGACGGCCCUCGGGUUGUAAACCACUGUCGGGAGGGACGAAGCUCUGACGGUACCUCCAAAGGAAGCACCGGCUAACUCUGUGCCAGCAGCCGCGGUAAUAC
rnacentral:rRNA from 1 species